CACUAUCUUAAAACCUGGUAAGAGAGAGAACCAAAGAUUCAUUUUGUGUUUCCUAUAUAAAAUUGUGCUUGUGGUUACUAGCAGUAAAAACAGUCGUUAUAAAAAUAUUUCAACUUAUAGAUGUAUAUAAAAGCAUUCCAACUAAUACAUGGCAAAUAAAUUAUUGAGUUAGAAUAUUACAAUUUUGCAACUCCCAGUAAAUUAAUGGAUGUAGACAUUGGUCAUCAAAGGCUGCUAAUAUCAAAAAACGAGUGAAAACCAAACGUUAUUUGCCUCCUGAUGAAUGAACACAGCACCACCUGUGGACUUUUCAAAGGGAUUAUACCUAAAUCCAAUAAAGCCUCUGAUUCCAGCUGCCAAUCUGCAGGUAAUACAGAGAACAGAGAAAUGUAUUGAACUGUACCAAGAGCAAAAUCCAGACAGUGGGAAACCACACAUCAGAAGUUCCAGUGUCUUAAUCUGAAAAAAAAUUUAAAGAAAACAAAGAAUGGAGGGGAUUCCUGAAGAUUAAAAGAUACUUUAAGGCUGGGCUCUGUGGCUCAUGCCUGUAAUCCCAGCACUUUGGGAGGCCAAGAUGGGCUGAUCACUUUGAGCUUAUGAGUUCAAGACCAGCCUGGACAACAUGGUCAAACUCCGUCUCCACAAAAAA